rnacentral:rRNA from 1 species
UACGGAGGAUGCAAGCGUUAUCCGGAAUGAUUGGGCGUAAAGGGUCCGCAGGUGGCAGUGUAAGUCUGCUGUCAAAGAAUGAGGCUUAACCUUAUCAAGGCAGUGGAAACUACACAGCUAGAGUACGGUCGGAGUAGAAGGAAUUCCUGGUGUAGCGGUGAAAUGCGUAGAGAUCAGGAAGAACACCGGUGGCGAAAGCGUUCUGCUAGACCUGUACUGACACUGAGGGACGAAAGCUAGGGGAGCGAAUGGG